rnacentral:rRNA from 1 species
UUGGAGGGCAAGUCUGGUGCCAGCAGCCGCGGUAAUUCCAGCUCCAAUAGCGUAUAUUAAAGUUGUUGCAGUUAAAAAGCUCGUAGUUGAAUUUCGGGAUCAAUUUAUUGGUCGUGCUAUUGUACGUACUGGUAUUAUUGAUUCCUACCUUCUGACGAACCAUGAUGUCAUUAAUUUGGUGUCAUGGGGAAUCAGGACUGUUACUUUGAAAAAAUUAGAGUGUUUAAAGCAGGCUCACGCUUGAAUACAUUAGCAUGGAAUAACGAAAUAGGACGUUUGAUUCUAUUUUGUUGGUUUCUAGGAUCGACGUAAUGAUUAAUAGGGAUAGUUGGGGGCAUUAGUAUUCAAUUGUCAGAGGUGAAAUUCUUGGAUUUAUUGAAGACUAACUGCUGCGAAAGCAUUUGCCAAGGAUGUUUUCAUUAAUCAAGAACGAAAGUUAAGGGAUCGAAGACGAUCAGAUACCGUCGUAGUCUUAACCAUAAACUAUGCCGACUAGGGAUCGGAUGAUGUUAACUUUUUAAUGACUCAUUCGGCGCCUUACGGGAAACCAAAGUGUUUGGGUUC